rnacentral:rRNA from 1 species
AGCAGCCGCGGUAAUUCCAGCUCCAAUAGCGUAUAUUAAAGUUGUUGCAGUUAAAAAGCUCGUAGUUGAAUUUCGGGAUCAAUAUGUUGGUCGUGCCUCGGUACGUACUGGCAUUAUUGGUUUCUACCUUCUGAAGAACCUCGAUGUCAUUAAUUUGGUGUCUUGGGGAAUCAGGACUGUUACUUUGAAAAAAUUAGAGUGUUUAAAGCAGGCUCACGCUUGAAUACAUUAGCAUGGAAUAAUGAAAUAGGACGUUUGAUUCUAUUUUGUUGGUUUCUAGGAUUGACGUAAUGAUUAAUAGGGAUAGUUGGGGGCAUUAGUAUUCAAUUGUCAGAGGUGAAAUUCUUGGAUUUAUUGAAGACUGACUACUGCGAAAGCAUUUGCCAAGGAUGUUUUCAUUAAUCAAGAACGAAAGUUAGGGGAUCGAAGACGAUCAGAUACCGUCGUAGUCUUAACCAUAAACUAUGCCGACUAGGAAUCGGAUGAUGUUAAUUUUUUAAUGACUCAUUCGGCGCCUUACG